AGCUGGGCCUGGGAGGUGCUGACUGAUCUGAUAUUGCAGGGAUGUAACUUGUCUGGAUUCUGGUACAAACUGAACACAAACCUGAUGAAGCAGUGGACGCAGCUGGAUGAGAGUUUUGGAGGAGGCUGGCAGGAGGUGACAGAAGCAGUUUGCUUCGGUGGGAUCCAGUGUCCAUCCACUGUCACGCAGAGGACGCCUGGUGGUAGAAGGCAUGAGGAGCUGAAGGCAUGAGGAGCUGCGUUGUUGGUGGCAGGGUCUACCUUGAAACCAGUUCCUGUGAAGAAUGUUGCCCCAACAUCAAGAAGGCACAAGUGGGGGCACUUGUGUGGCUCAGUGGCUGAGUGUCUGCCUUUGGCUGAGGUCAUGAUCUCUGGGUCCUGGGAUCAAGUCCCACAUUGGGCACGGAGCCUGCUUCUCCCUCUGCCUGUGUCUCUGCCUCUCUCUGGGUCUCUCAUGAAUAAAUAAAUAAAUAAAAUGUUUAAAAAAGAAGAA
rnacentral:lncRNA from 12 species